UCACUUCCAGGCGACUACUCGGGACGGCUACUCGGUUAUUGACUUCAAGGGGUGUUCGCUUCAACGCGCUAUCAAUACAACAAGGAAACUCUUUAUUGAAACAAGAAUACAUCAAGUUACAUACGAGUACAAGGACUCACCUCAACAAAGACUACAAGCAACUGCCUACUGGCGGGCUGCAUUUAAGUCUCAGGCUUUUACUAUAUCACAAGGCCACUCAGGUCUGCCGACCGCAUGAGGGGCCUACACGCAAGGAAGCUGCGCAAAACGCAGCCACGCCCUGGUGUCCUAC
rnacentral:lncRNA from 1 species